rnacentral:rRNA from 1 species
UACGUAGGGGGCAAGCGUUGUCCGGAUUUAUUGGGCGUAAAGAGCGUGUAGGCGGCCUUACAGGUCAGCUGUGAAAACUCGAGGCUCAACCUCGAGAGGUCGGUUGAAACUGUAAGGCUAGAGUCCGGAAGAGGAGAGUGGAAUUCCCGGUGUAGCGGUGAAAUGCGCAGAUAUCGGGAAGAACACCCGUGGCGAAGGCGGCUCUCUGGGACGGUACUGACGCUGAGACGCGAAAGCGUGGGGAGCGAACAGG